rnacentral:lncRNA from 1 species
UUCAGCCGUACUGAUUAUUUGAAAUACAAGUCAGAGAAUCGGAUUGUUCCUGAUGGUGUUAAUGCUAAGGUUAGUCUUGGAUAUAUAUCUUACUACUUUUUGCCCUUCUUGGUGUUUUUUAUUAGGUUAUAAUGAGCUUAUUUUGCAUUGGGGGGCUUCUUGUUGGCAGGCAGGGAGUUUGUUAAUUAUAUCUUACAAUGAACUUAUAAGACUUGUUUUCGGCCUUGCAGCUUCUUGGAUGCCAUGGACCUCUGGCGAAUAGAGAACCAGGAAGAGCAUUCCCGUCUGCUACUGCUACUGCUUAAUAUCUUAAGUUGCUCAAAAUCUGAAAGUACUUGACCGAGUCUUAAUAGUGUUUUGAGGCUUUAUUUAUCAUUAAUGCUAGUGCAUGAUGAAAGAACUUUUGUUUUGUUGAAUAGAAUAAAUAGGCUUAUCCUUCAAACUUUAACUCAUGUCUUUGCUCAAAAAAUCUGAUAAUUGUUCUAUUACUUUCAUUAUACCGCGUUUCAAGUAACUCUACUUUUUUUUAAAGGUUAGCAAUCACUUGGCAAUGUUGUGUAUUUUGCAACUUUUAUAUGCAUGACGAGUAUUAAUUGUUUACGUUCUUGUAUAAUUCUCAGUUAUGUAUAUUUUGCUACUCUGUGGUCUAUACUCGGCUGUUGGGCAAUUAUUAUUUUGAUUAAAAUUAUGAUUCAAAAUUUAUAGUUUUUAAGGCUCUGGCCGUGUGUUUUGAUUCCUGGUCAUAAAAUCUGAUCUACUUGUGUAGACACUAAAUAAAAGAAUAGUUGUCCAAAGAAAUAAUAAUAGAAAACGACAUUUGGCUCAUAAUAUUAGUAUCUAAAAGCGUACAUUUCUGUGUUUUUCCACCCCCUUGUUCCUUUUGCCUCUAUUAGCUUCCAAUUGGUAUAACAUGAUGAUGGUGGCAAAUUGCCAAUGAUAAAAAGGAAGACAAAUGCCAAUGAUAAUAGUAGUUUGCUUCAUUUUUAAUAUAUUAAAUAAUUUUUUUAAAAAAAUAUUUUUAAAUUAUGAAUCUACCUUUAAACUGUUAAUUUUAUAUUUAUUUAGUUCAAGAAAACAUUAUGUACAUAAACCUUUUUAAAUUCAUGACUUUUAAAAGUAUAUUUCAAUAUCUUGUUAACUUAUUCAAAAAUUAAUUGCCUAAUAUUUUUAAAUUAUUAAAUUUUUUUGUUUUGGUGAAUAAAAUAUUAAAUAUAAUAUAAGUAGUUUUAGAGCAGUUUUUAGCAAAAAGUUACGACUGAUAAUGCGAGGAGAAUAUUAAUAAAAUAGCAUUCUUGCUCCAACUUCCUGCCAUGGUCGCGUGCAAAUAGGAGUAAUUUUUCAUCUUAUAUAUGUAUAUUUAUUUAAUACAUUCAUUUUACACACUUAUGUAAUAUAACAAAUAGAGUUAGUAAGUAAUAAUUGAUUGAUAUAAUAAAUAAACAAAUAAUAAUACGAUUUUAAUCUUUUUAAAAUUAUAAUACAUAAAUAUAUACCCAUGAUCAUAAAUAUUAAAACAAUGCUAAAUAAACAAAAUUCUUAAUGUGACUCUCAACAGGUUAAUAGAUUUUAAUUGCCACAAAAAAAAAAAACUUUAUAAUACCUUUUUAUUGGUUUUUCGCACCUAUGUCAUUCAUAUUUCAGAAUGUUAUUAAUUAAUAUAACUAAAUCCACCAGACUUAAUGCAUUCAUAUUAAAAACAGAGCUUAUAAAAUUAUUUGACUUUUUUAACAUCCACAAAGGUUCUUUAAAUUUUAAGAGGUCAAAAAUCCCUUUUUAACUUGUAUAACCAUCCAUCUCUACCUCAUGUUAUUACUGGUUUUUAAAAUUUUUGAAAGUUCAAAACCCCAUCUGAUUUCUAUAAACCAUCCGCCUCUGCUUAGCUCUUUUGUCAAGUACCGCAACAUCUGAUUCACUUAUCCAACCAAAUAUCAAAUUAAACUCAACAAAUUAAAAAUAUAAAAAUGUUAGCGAUUAUGCAUUCGUUAAUUAUUUGUUUGAUGUUUAUGAAUCUCAACAGAUGGAAGAGCACUUUGGUAUUGACUCAAUAAUAAGUAAAUCUUAUUUUUAUUCUUUGUUUGAUGUUUAUGAAAGAAUGCUUUGGCAUUUGACGGGAAGUAAAUCAUAUUUUUAUUCAAAGAGCUAAGUGAGAAUUUCUUAAAAGAGUUAAUGUCUCCAGCAAUGUUUAAAUUAAAAUAAAAUAUUUAUUAUGAUUUUUAAUAUGAUAUUUGAAUUAAUAUGAUAUUUAUCUUAAUCUAAUUAAUUUUAACUAAUUAUAUAUGAUAAGUUGACAAAUUUUUAUAUACGUAUUAAUUAAUAAAUUUAUAAUUAAAUAUUAUAUUAAAAUUUUUUAAAAUUUAAAAAUUAUAUUAAAUAUUUCACGUCAGUAUUAAUUUAAUAGGAGAGAAGAUUAUGCUAAGAUGGUGCUAGAAAAAAUCAAAUUUCCUACCGUUCAAGUAUUUAUAUUACUGAUAAUAAAAGAAAAAGGAAUUAAAAAUAUUCCUAAAGUCUGGUCCAACCCCGAACUCCCAUUAGUUGGGUCAAACAAGCAAACAGCAUUGGCCCAAUGGUGGUGGGCUGAAGAAAAGGGCAAAAAACAAAAAUGACGGCAUGACGUAAUCACACACGUAUGAGGACGUGUUGAACGUGUUAGUUUUAGCUAGGGUUUCUAACCUGACCGCCUUACCAUACUAUAAAUAGAGCUUUUCCUCUUUUUCUCUUUCAAUGUUCUAGGGUUUCCAUCAGUUUCAGUUGCAGCCGCAGAUUUUCAAAGAUCUACCGCCAUGGGGAGGAGUGAGUAUCUCUCUCCCGUAUUGUAUUUGAACGUAAUUGGAAAUCAAUGAUUGCCCAACUUUCUUUGGUUUCAUACUAGGGUUUAUAUGGUUGCUUAGAGAACAUCGAUGGAUGUUUAGUUUUUUCUUUUUUAAGAAUGAAUACUGAUGGUUUAUUUUUCUAUUUGGUCUGUUACAUCUUUGAUUGGAUGUGCCAAAACAAUGAGACUGGUGAUUUUAUGUGUUUAAAUUAGAAAUAUAUGCCUGCUUUUACUUUUACCUCUGCAAUCUUGCAAUACCACACCAAUAUCUCUCCUUUUUUCAUUUUAGGUCUUGUGGGUGAAAUCUUAAUGAGAUGAUGGUAUCGCUGAAUUCUGUGACUAAAUGGAUGGAUUGUCUGCAGUUAAAUGUUUUAAAUUCAUUUGCCAUCUCUUAAUUAGGGAUAUUUUGGCUCAUCUGCUGUUUGUUGAUGUAUCCGAUGUGAUGAAUCAAAUUAUUUCAAACUGCCAUGACCCAACCUCCGCAUUUGCGAAGAUGUCCCCCCUGUAGACAUUGGAAAUUUUCUAUACUUGCGUUUCCUUUUUAUUUGUUCGUUUAUCUUCUCAAUAUACAUUUUUUAUUUUCCUUUUGUAAUUGUGCCUGUUUCCCUUGAACUAUACUUUCUUUCUUUACUUCUCAAGUGUUCUGUUUUUCUGCUUCUGUUUUUCUGCAUCCGCUUUAAUUAUGUUGCUUCUAGGUCUGCCUUAAAGAACUGGCUGUACUUAAAUGAUUUUCCCUUGUGGAAUAAUGAUAUUUUCAUCACAAUUUCUUGAAAAGAAAAUUGAUAAAUUGUUGUGGCUGAUCUAUCAAUAACUUAAUUGAUUUAGAUGGGAAAUGCAUUUCAAAAUAAAAUUUUGUGAUGUGAAGGGAUCUGUUUUGUGUUUUAAAUCCAUUUAGUAAAUGAAAGUUUCACACUUUCACUGUCCUUUCUGCUAAUGCUUGGCAUUGUGGAUUAAUCUUUCGAAUAUUGCCUGCCAUUAAACCACUUAAUGGAAUUUUUUUAACAGAGUUGUGGGUAUGAAAUUUGUUGAUUUACUAUAUUAAACUUCACUAAUUAAAAUUCUAAUGGUUUGUUGGUUUUCAGGACCUGCAAGGUGUUAUCGUCAGAUUAAAAACAAGCCUUACCCAAAGUCACGUUAUUGCCGUGGUGUACCUGAUCCAAAGAUCAGGAUUUAUGAUGUGGGGAUGAAAAGGAAAGGUGUGGAUGAGUUCCCUUUCUGUGUGCACCUGGUAUCUUGGGAGAAAGAAAACGUCUCUAGUGAGGCGUUGGAGGCUGCUCGAAUUGCUUGCAACAAAUAUAUGGCCAAGUUUGCAGGAAAGGAUGCCUUCCACUUGCGAGUCCGUGUUCACCCAUUCCAUGUCUUGCGUAUCAACAAGAUGCUUUCCUGUGCUGGAGCUGAUAGGCUUCAAACUGGUAUGCGAGGUGCUUUUGGCAAGCCACAGGGUACUUGUGCUAGAGUAGCCAUUGGUCAGGUUCUCCUUUCUGUUCGUUGCAAGGACAGCAACAGCCAUCACGCACAAGAGGCCCUCCGCCGCGCUAAGUUCAAGUUCCCUGGACGCCAAAAGAUUAUUGUCAGCAGGAAGUGGUAUGUAAUUCACUUGUCAUAACUGCAUUUAUUCUUUUACGAAUCCUUCUUUUUAAAAUGAUUUCAUGCUCUUUUAUCUUAUGGUAAUUAUUUGGCAUUCCUAGUGACUGGCUCUUUUCUAAUAUUCAGGGGUUUUACAAAGUUCAGCCGUACUGAUUAUUUGAAAUACAAGUCAGAGAAUCGGAUUGUUCCUGAUGGUGUUAAUGCUAAGGUUUGUCUUGGAAGUUAAAUCUGACUACUUUUUCCCCUUGGUGUUGUCUAUUGGGUUGUAAUGAGCUUAUUGGGCUUCUUGUUGGCAGGCAGAGAGUUUUUUAAUUAUAUCUUACAAUGAACUUAUAGUACUUGUUUUCGGCCUUGCAGCUUCUUGGAUGCCAUGGACCUCUUGCGGAUAGGGAACCGGGAAGAGCAUUCCCGCCUGCUGCUGCUUAAGAUCUUAAGUUGCUCUAAAUCUGGAAGUACUUGGCCGAGUCUUAAUUGUGUUUUGAGGCUUUAUUUAUC